CAGUAGCCGCGGGAAUACAGAGGGUGCAAGCGUUAAUCGGAAUUACUGGGCGUAAAGCGCGCGUAGGUGGUUUGUUAAGUUGGAUGUGAAAGCCCCGGGCUCAACCUGGGAACUGCAUCCAAAACUGGCAAGCUAGAGUACGGUAGAGGGUGGUGGAAUUUCCUGUGUAGCGGUGAAAUGCGUAGAUAUAGGAAGGAACACCAGUGGCGAAGGCGACCACCUGGACUGAUACUGACACUGAGGUGCGAAAGCGUGGGGAGCAAACAGGAUUAGAUACCCCCGUAGUCCCUGUCUCUUAUAC
rnacentral:rRNA from 1 species